GGUCAAGUGAAGAAGCGCAUACGGUGGAUGCCUUGGCAGUCAGAGGCGAUGAAAGACGUGGUAGCCUGCGAAAAGCUUCGGGGAGUCGGCAAACAGACUUUGAUCCGGAGAUCUCUGAAUGGGGGAACCCACCUAGGAUAACCUAGGUAUCUUGUACUGAAUCCAUAGGUGCAAGAGGCGAACCAGGGGAACUGAAACAUCUAAGUACCCUGAGGAAAAGAAAUCAACCGAGAUUCCCUUAGUAGUGGCGAGCGAACGGGGAUUAGCCCUUAAGCUUCAUUGAUUUUAGCGGAACGCUCUGGAAAGUGCGGCCAUAGUGGGUGAUAGCCCCGUACGCGAAAGGAUCUUUGAAGUGAAAUCGAGUAGGACGGAGCACGAGAAACUUUGUCUGAACAUGGGGGGACCAUCCUCCAAGGCUAAAUACUACUGACUGACCGAUAGUGAACCAGUACCGUGAGGGAAAGGCGAAAAGAACCCCGGAGAGGGGAGUGAAAUAGAACCUGAAACCGUAUGCGUACAAGCAGUGGGAGCCUACUUGUUAGGUGACUGCGUACCUUUUGUAUAAUGGGUCAGCGACUUAUAUUCAGUGGCAAGCUUAACCGUAUAGGGUAGGCGUAGCGAAAGCGAGUCUUAAUAGGGCGUUUAGUCGCUGGGUAUAGACCCGAAACCGGGCGAUCUAUCCAUGAGCAGGUUGAAGGUUAGGUAACACUGACUGGAGGACCGAACCCACUCCCGUUGAAAAGGUAGGGGAUGACUUGUGGAUCGGAGUGAAAGGCUAAUCAAGCUCGGAGAUAGCUGGUUCUCCUCGAAAGCUAUUUAGGUAGCGCCUCAUGUAUCACUCUGGGGGGUAGAGCACUGUUUCGGCUAGGGGGUCAUCCCGACUUACCAAACCGAUGCAAACUCCGAAUACCCAGAAGUGCCGAGCAUGGGAGACACACGGCGGGUGCUAACGUCCGUCGUGAAAAGGGAAACAACCCAGACCGCCAGCUAAGGUCCCAAAGUUGUGGUUAAGUGGUAAACGAUGUGGGAAGGCUUAGACAGCUAGGAGGUUGGCUUAGAAGCAGCCACCCUUUAAAGAAAGCGUAAUAGCUCACUAGUCGAGUCGGCCUGCGCGGAAGAUGUAACGGGGCUCAAACCACACACCGAAGCUGCGGGUGUCACGCAAGUGACGCGGUAGAGGAGCGUUCUGUAAGCCUGUGAAGGUGAGUUGAGAAGCUUGCUGGAGGUAUCAGAAGUGCGAAUGCUGACAUGAGUAACGACAAUGGGUGUGAAAAACACCCACGCCGAAAGACCAAGGGUUCCUGCGCAACGUUAAUCGACGCAGGGUUAGUCGGUUCCUAAGGCGAGGCUGAAAAGCGUAGUCGAUGGGAAACAGGUUAAUAUUCCUGUACUUCUGGUUACUGCGAUGGAGGGACGGAGAAGGCUAGGCCAGCUUGGCGUUGGUUGUCCAAGUUUAAGGUGGUAGGCUGAAAUCUUAGGUAAAUCCGGGGUUUCAAGGCCGAGAGCUGAUGACGAGUCGUCUUUUAGAUGACGAAGUGGUUGAUGCCAUGCUUCCAAGAAAAGCUUCUAAGCUUCAGGUAACCAGGAACCGUACCCCAAACCGACACAGGUGGUCGGGUAGAGAAUACCAAGGCGCUUGAGAGAACUCGGGUGAAGGAACUAGGCAAAAUGGCACCGUAACUUCGGGAGAAGGUGCGCCGGCUAGGGUGAAGGAUUUACUCCGUAAGCUCUGGCUGGUCGAAGAUACCAGGCCGCUGCGACUGUUUAUUAAAAACACAGCACUCUGCAAACACGAAAGUGGACGUAUAGGGUGUGACGCCUGCCCGGUGCCGGAAGGUUAAUUGAUGGGGUUAGCGCAAGCGAAGCUCUUGAUCGAAGCCCCGGUAAACGGCGGCCGUAACUAUAACGGUCCUAAGGUAGCGAAAUUCCUUGUCGGGUAAGUUCCGACCUGCACGAAUGG
rnacentral:rRNA from 1 species